AUGCGCAAGAAACCGCUCGGAACUGGUGAGUCGCCACCUCCAUGUUUAAAAACAAGAGCUCUGUUGCCAUGUUCAUCCAGCGCGUAUGUCUGCUCUCCUCGCCAUCUUGCCACUGCCCUCCAGUCUGGUUGUAUUCCGGCUUCGGGAGCUGAUCGGCAUUCUCUCUCCCCCUUGAUUUGAUUGGAUUUUCUUUGGAUUUGUGUACUCCUCACACAACCAGCCCCGUUUUGAUUGGAUCCAGUGUCCUGUUCGAUCAAGAAAGGAGGAAGAGGUUCUCAUCCGAAUAUUGGACAACAGUAGCUGCUUCCGUUGGUCGGCUAGAUAUAUAAAGAACACAACAUGCUUCCUUUUACAUCAAUUCUUGCGUGUGUGCUUUGCAAAGAUGGACAACCCCUGAAAAUUCUUUGAGGCCUCCUGGU